rnacentral:rRNA from 1 species
GAUGAACGCUGGCGGCGUGCCUAAUACAUGCAAGUCGAGCGAACGGACGAGGAGCUUGCUUCUCUGAUGUUAGCGGCGGACGGGUGAGUAACACGUGGAUAACCUACCUAUAAGACUGGGAUAACUUCGGGAAACCGGAGCUAAUACCGGAUGAUAUAUUGAACCGCAUGGUUCAAUAGUGAAAGACGGUCUUGCUGUCACUUAUAGAUGGAUCCGCGCUGCAUUAGCUAGUUGGUAAGGUAACGGCUUACCAAGGCAACGAUGCAUAGCCGACCUGAGAGGGUGAUCGGCCACACUGGAACUGAGACACGGUCCAGACUCCUACGGGAGGCAGCAGUAGGGAAUCUUCCGCAAUGGGCGAAAGCCUGACGGAGCAACGCCGCGUGAGUGAUGAAGGUCUUCGGAUCGUAAAACUCUGUUAUUAGGGAAGAACAUAUGUGUAAGUAACUGUGCACAUCUUGACGGUACCUAAUCAGAAAGCCACGGCUAACUACGUG